rnacentral:rRNA from 1 species
ACGGGUGAGUAAUGCCUAGGAAUCUGCCUGGUAGUGGGGGACAACGUUUCGAAAGGAACGCUAAUACCGCAUACGUCCUACGGGAGAAAGCAGGGGACCUUCGGGCCUUGCGCUAUCAGAUGAGCCUAGGUCGGAUUAGCUGGUUGGUGAGGUAAUGGCUCACCAAGGCGACGAUCCGUAACUGGUCUGAGAGGAUGAUCAGUCACACUGGAACUGAGACACGGUCCAGACUCCUACGGGAGGCAGCAGUGGGGAAUAUUGGACAAUGGGCGAAAGCCUGAUCCAGCCAUGCCGCGUGUGUGAAGAAGGUCUUCGGAUUGUAAAGCACUUUAAGUUGGGAGGAAGGGUUGUAGAUUAAUACUCUGCAAUUUUGACGUUACCGACAGAAUAAGCACCGGCUAACUCUGUGCCAGCAGCCGCGGUAAUACAGAGGGUGCAAGCGUUAAUCGGAAUUACUGGGCGUAAAGCGCGCGUAGGUGGUUUGUUAAGUUGGAUGUGAAAUCCCCGGGCUCAACCUGGGAACUGCAUCCCAAAACUGGCAAGCUAGAGUAUGGUAGAGGGUGGGUGGAAUUUCCUGUGUAGCGG